GUUAUUUAUAAUCUCUUUACUCGAAAUGCCAAAUGUACCUUCUCUAGAUAAACAGUAGGAGGCAAUAAUACCCCGUAUAAGGUGUCUAGCCUACCAAGAAAAGAAAAGGAAGAAGAAGCGUAGAGGGCGGGGCUGGAAAGAGGGAGGUAUAAAUAUCUGAUGCCGCCAUUGCUCUUUCCACUCCUGCAACCCUUCCGUUAAGAUGGAAGCCGAACACUACCUUACGGCAAACGCCAAAGGUUGGACAAUGCAGACCUAUUCGAAGACUGUAUGGACAGAACAAGGAUGAUGGCUGCCUAGAAUGGUGGGAAUGUGAAAUAGCUUCACAAACCUGGACUUCGGCCAGUUUGUCCAAUGGAGGACAUUGUUGAGACAUGGGAGUUGAUGGAGGACAUGGGAGUUGAUGGAGGACAUGGGAGUUGAUGGGGUGGUGAGAUUGUCAUUCAAAACCGCCCAUAAUUAAAGGUGUCAUGGUGCUGGUGUUCAGAGACUACUUCUACUCCAACCAAGGGUUCCUAGACUGGUCCAGUGUUCAUCUGCUACCCUGGUGUCCUUAAAACAGAUCUGGAUCAUCAUGUUAUCGGGGCAGUCACACUAACCACAACGACAGACGCUGCCUCAGUCCCGUGGCCUUUCUGAAAUGUCUGCCAUGGGCCUUCGCCAGGGUGUCUGCACGGUGCUGACGUCUUUCCAUGAAGGCAGGUUUGCAUUGACAGUGCUGCAACCAUUUAAAUGAAAUGAUGAUGUCCAUAGGGAACAGUAACAUGUGCAAUCUAGUACGGAUGACCUCCCUGUUGGCCCUUGACGGCACUGAGAACCCUGUAUCAGGUGUAAGGUGACCUCUUGGAAUCCCGUGGGAGGGUCUAGUUGUGCAAAUGACUGAGAAAAAAUCUGAUCAUGAUGUCAAAUGUACUUUGCGCAUGGACCACUUAAAUGGCCUCUAAAGGCUUCCUAAAUUGUCUUUUUUCCUAGGAGCAAGACUGGGCCAGUGUUGAUCUGCUACACUGGCGUCCUCAAAUCUGGAUCUGGAUCAUCAUGGUAUGUUGACGUUCAUAUCUUAAAACACUCCGUGGCUCUAUAUAAUGAUGUUGUAUUUUACCGCCCCAGUCUGAAGAUUCAUGACUGAUUGGUACACACUCUGAUCCUCCAUAACGACAGAC
ensembl:lncRNA